rnacentral:rRNA from 1 species
AUUGAACGCUGGCGGCAGGCCUAACACAUGCAAGUCGAACGAGUGGCGGACGGGUGAGUAAUGUCUGGGAAACUGCCCGAUGGGGGGGGAUAACUACUGGAAACGGUAGCUAAUACCGCAUACCAUCGGAUGUGCCCAGAUGGGAUUAGCUAGUAGGUGGGGUAACGGCUCACCGAGGCGACGAUCCCUAGCUGGUCUGAGAGGAUGACCAGCCAAACUGGAACUGAGACACGGCCCAGACUCCUACGGGAGGCAGCAGUGGGGAAUAUUGCAAAAUUGGCGCAAGCCGGAUGCAGCCAGGCCGCGUGUAUGAAGAGGGCCUUCGGGUUGUAAAGUACUUUCAGCGAGGAGGCGUGACUCGCAGAAGAAGCACCGGCUAACUACGUGCCAGCCGCCGCGGUAAUUC